rnacentral:lncRNA from 1 species
GAAAUUUAACUUUUUUUCAUUUUUCCAUUUUAUGCUUCUAGCAUUUGUCAUUCUAUAAUCCAAAACACAGCAAAGUGACAAAUUUUGCUACUUACACUUGGCUUCCAUAUGAGGCAAACUGCUCUCAUUUUAUAUAUUAUAUAAGUUAGUCCUAUAUUUAAACAACUUUGUACGAUAUCUAAAAAAAAAAAAAAAAAGACAAAUAGAUUCUAUUUCUAGAACCUAUAGUAUUUUGAAUAGUCAUUCUUAUUCCUAAUAUCUGUAACUGUCACGACCUGUCUCUAUUGCCCGGACCGACACUAAGGCCCAAGUAGCUUAAGGCCACCGAGACCCAUAGUAACCUUGAAACAUUGUUCAUCAAUCAUCUAAUCCAAUAGAUAUAAAUCAAGAGGAUAAGCCCGAUAAGAAUAUUCAACUGUGCCCAAUAUACUAAUAACAAUCCAAAUCGUUACAAAGACCAUAAUUCAAAUACAAAUAUAUGUUUAUUAUUUAUUAUUUGUUCAAUUUCUUGCACCUUUAGUACAUGCAUUCACAAAGUAUAAUCAUAAUCUCAUUCAUUAGGCUCCAGUCAAUUAUUCAACUCAUAUUUUCAACUAUAGAUUCAACUAAUCAAAAUAAAGUUUACUCGUAAUUACUAUGAUUAUUUCAUACAUAACACUCCUAUAAUAACUACGAAUAUCUACAUCCAUUGCAAAUAUUAGAGAACCCUAGCUGAAUAGUAAUUACUGUUCAAUUUAAUAAUUACUUCAAUGAUUCUAUGGAAGAAGGAAGAACAUAGCUUUAGAUAAAAUGUAGAAUAGAGUUCAGUUUCCUGACAAAUUUAAAGGGAGCAGGAGUGAUAUAAAACUCAAUGAAUAAUAACAUAUAAUACCAAACCUAGGCAUUCACACGAUAUGCUCCUAGACUCCUCUAAUUAAGCAUCCACCAUUCAUGCAAUGUCAAUCAUAGCACUCACAAACAAUAGUAACCAUAAUGCACACCAAGUGGUCGUUAGUCAGUGGAAUCACCUUAAUAGGACCAUACUCUCCCCAAACAUGCUUUUUUUUUUUUUUGGUAACAAAGAGGGUGAGCAAGCUCACAAACUAGCAACAGUCCUCAAAUGAGAAACACCACUAAGAUCAUGAAGGAGCCAUGGCAGGAGAUCAACAAGAGGUUGCUCAAGCAUAUGCAGACGUAGAGGAAAACCAAAAGCUAAAUUAGCAAGUUUAUCAGCGCAGUGGUUUGCUUCUCGGAAAACAUGUGAGACCUUGCAAUCCUAGUCCCAACCAAGGAUCAUCCUAGCAGCAAGAACUAAAGCCCGUAAACUACCAGGCACCCAAGGUCCUGUGACUUGUGCACCCAAGGAGCCAACCUCUGUUCAGACGAAAUCAUAAUCGGAUAAAAAAAUUUUUUCAUAAGAUAUUUUUCUUUAUAAAAUAUUUUCCAUGACACGUGUCAUAAUUCGGAGUGCACAAGGGGGGGGGUGGUGCCACUCCCACCGCUUACGGCCUACUGACGACAUUCUCACCAUGAUUGUGCUCUCACCCCAGGUGAUCCACAUCGUCCCAACUCCCAUAGAACAAUCACAUCACAUUAAAUACAAAGCAAUUAUUCAUAGAAUUUACUAAUGCACAUCAAUAUAUAUAUAUAUGAAUUUAAAAAUGAAGUAUGUAUUCAUGAAUUUGGUAAAAUAUUAUGUAUUAUUACUCACUGCCUGUGGUGAGAAUACAGCUUCAUUGAGAUCCUUACUAUGGAGGAGUUGAGAAAAUACCUAUGUAAUCUAGAAGAAGUAAGGAAGAUAAAGAGAAACCUUGUUAAUAACAUAAUUGAUUACCUAUUUAUUUGUAGAAUUCUAAUCCCUUUAUAGCUAUUAUUCUAAAAAAAAUUCUACCAAAAAUUCGACAUAGUCUCCCCUUAAAAACUGGACUAAACAACAUGUUCAAAAUCAUAAUUCAAUAAUCAAUUUUCAAAGCCCAUCCAUCAGAUGAUUCAUACCAAUUAAAUCCCAUCCGCCGUAUCCAACAUUUUAUAAUUCCAAUAUUGACAUUAAUUAUAUAUCUAACUAAAUUCACCAAUACAAUCAUAUUAUCAUAUAAAGCAUAUAUAUAAUUUAGUAUAAAUUCUAUAACUAAUAACCAACUACUUAUCAUUAGUUCAUAAAUCUUACUCAAGGAUAUAUAAACCGGAUAUUCACAAAACCUCAUCAGUAUCCAUCAUAAUUAAUUCAAUCUCAUUAUAUUAGUAGUUAUACAUAAUCAUAUUCCCCCAUUAGCCUUAACUAAGUUAUUAAUUUCACUACACUAAUAUAUAAUUUGAUAUCAACAUAAUCAUACCCUAAAUUUCAGAUAUCAAGCACUAAAAUAAUUCUAAGUUAAUAAUAAAUUACCAUUCAAUGACAUAAAUAUCAUAAACCAAUCAUAAUUAGUUUAUUCAUAAAAAGAUUAAAUAAUUUUAUUUAUAUUAAUCCACUCAUAUAAUCCAAGCUUCUAUUUAAAUAUGUCUACCUUAAUGACUAACUAAUCUAACUAUAAAAGACUAAAAUAUUCAAUUAUCAACAAAUCUAACAAAACAUAAUUAAUUUGCUCGCUAAUUGAUUAUAUCUUUUUAAGAUGAAUUAAACUUUGUUUAGCCAACUUUCUACAACUUUUCAGCUAAUUUCUUAAUUUGCAUCAAAUAGCAAUUUGAAGGUCAAAUGAGUUUGGAUCGCAAAACUAAUUAUAUAUUCGUAACCUAUGCGAGGAUAAGAUUCUGCCUUUUGGGAACUCUGGUCACCGGAGCCAUCACCGGUUGCUGCCAUCGUCGCAGCCCAUGGUGGUUGGAGGGGCCGGUAGACCAUAAUUGUGCCAUUUUUAUCUUAUUUUGCUCCAAAUUUCAUGUAGAUCACAUUUCUACAAUUAAUGUUUUCCAACUAAGCUGAUUUAUAUUAUUUUCCCAUUUUUUUAUCAAUUUAAUACCUAAAAUAAAAUCUCCCCAAUAAAUCUCAUUAUUCUACACUAAUCAAGCUCAAAAAUUUCCUCUAAAGAUGAUGUAAAGUAGAGAUAAACCAACCUAUUUGAAGCUUGCUGUCGGAAAUUGUUUGGCUCACCGGAAAACAAUACCAAAAAUAUGCAACUCCACUGUAGGAAGUUACGAAGCUCAACAACGGUGAGUAGAGAGAGAAAAUAGAGUGGUAAAGGCUUGAACUAUCACCGAUGCAUCUCCUUUUCCGGCCAAAGUGAACUAUCGGUAACAAGGAGAGAGAGAGCAUCGUGGAGAAGAAAGAAAGAAUGGAAAAGAAAGAAACAAAGAAAGAAAGAAAGAAAGAAAGGAAGUAGGGAUGGGUUCACAUGGAUCUUGGGUAGAUUUAGGUUGUUUUUCUCUCUCUUUUUU